rnacentral:tRNA from 1 species
GAUGAAUACCUGCAAAAUCUGGUGCCGUUUAAAGAGGGCGAUGAGUACGAAUCGAAAGAUCUGGCGGAACUGAACCGCCGACUUU